GAGCAAGCUGCUUCCCAGGGCGCUAAGGGUGUAUCUCCCCACAGAAGAGGCACCCCUUUCCUUCCCUGCAUCCCUGCCCGCCAUCCCCACAAGCUGCUUUCGCCUCCAUUAUUCCCUGCAAGGCCUCCCUUCCGCCUGUGUUUCCAGGCCAGGCCUAAGAAGAAAGACACAGGCAGGCAGGCUGAGAGAGAGACCUCUGCAGAGACGAGAUGCCAGUCCACUUACCACCCAGGUACACACUCAAAGAAACAGAAAUUUCACACUUGCCUCCAUAAACAUCGACAACAGUGUCUCCAGAACGCAGUGUCCACCUUACUCUUCCACUCUGAAACGUCUGACUGCUUGUUCUGACUGAAAUGUUUUCUAUUUUUAGAUCAACUGAGCCACACUCAAAUUUCCAGCUGAUGUAACCCGACAAGGAUCCUUCUUUUCGUGCUAAAUAAACCUAGUUAGAAAUGAAAAA